rnacentral:rRNA from 1 species
UGUUAAAGUGCGUAGGUGUUGAGUCAGUAGGCAAAUCCGCUGAUGAACUGAAACAUGAUAGUACUCAGAUCCUUUCGGGGUGAAGAGAUAGUGACUCCAAGCAUACUUCCAAGAAAAACCUCUAAGCUUCAGGUAAUAACAGCCCGUACCAUAAACCGACACAGGUAGUCGAGGAGAAUAUCCUAAGGCGCUCGAGUGAGUCAUGGCUAAGGAACUAGGCAAAUUAGUCUCGUAACUUCGGGAAAAGAGACCCCCACUUCGGUGGGGCGCAGAGAAAUGGCCCAGGCGACUGUUUAGCAAAAACACAGGACUCUGCAAAAUCGAAAGAUGACGUAUAGGGUCUGACACCUGCCCGGUGCCGGAAGGUUAAGGAAGGGGGUUAGCGCAAGCGAAGCUCUUGACUGAAGCCCCGGUAAACGGCGGCCGUAACUAUAACGGUCCUAAGGUAGCGAAAUUCCUUGUCGGGUAAGUUCCGACCUGCACGAAUGGUGUAACGAUCUGGGCACUGUCUCAGCCAUGAGCUCGGUGAAAUUGAAGUAUCGGUGAAGAUGCCGGUUACCCGCCACGGGACGAAAAGACCCCGUGCACCUUUACUAUAGCUUCACAUUGUGCUUGAAUAUAAGAUGUGUAGGAUAGGUGGGAGACUUUGAAGCGGCCACGCUAGUGGUUGUGGAGUCAACGUUGAAAUACCACCCUUCUUCUAUUUAGGUUCUAACCCCGUACCCACGGGGGACAGUGUGUGGUGGGUAGUUUGACUGGGGUGGUCGCCUCCUAAAGAGUAACGGAGGCUUGCAAAGGUGCCCUCAGCAUGGACGGUAAUCAUGCGAAGAGCGUAUUAGUAUAAGGGCGCUUGACUGAGAGAGCGACGGCUCGACCAGGUACGAAAGUAGGCUAAAGUGAUCCGGUGUUUCCGCAUGGAAGGGACAUCGCUCAAAGGAUAAAAGGUACGCCGGGGAUAACAGGCUGAUCUCCCCCAAGAGCUCAUAUCGACGGGGAGGUUUGGCACCUCGAUGUCGGUUCGUCACAUCCUGGGGCUGAAGAAGGUCCCAAGGGUUCGGCUGUUCGCCGAUUAAAGUGGCACGUGAACUGGGUUCAGAACGUCGCAAGACAGUUCGGUCUCUAUCUGUGGUGGGCGUUGUAAUAUUGAAGGGAACUGACUCUAGUACGAGAGGACCGAGUUGGACGUACCUCUAGUGUAUCUGUUGUGCCGCCAGGUGCAAUGCAGAGUAGCUAUGUACGGACUAGAUAAGCGCUGAAAGCAUCUAAGCGCGAAGCUAUCCUUAAGAUGAGUAUUACUGGGGUCGUAGAAGACGACUACGUUGAUAGGCUAUAGGUGUAAGCGUAGUAAUACGCUCAGCUGAGUAGUACUAAUUACCCCUUAGCUUCCUUUU